rnacentral:rRNA from 1 species
GACGAACGCUGGCGGCGUGCUUAACACAUGCAAGUCGAACGGAAAGGCCCUGCUUUUGUGGGGUGCUCGAGUGGCGAACGGGUGAGUAACACGUGAGUAACCUGCCCUUGACUUUGGGAUAACUUCAGGAAACUGGGGCUAAUACCGGAUAGGAGCUCCUGCUGCAUGGUGGGGGUUGGAAAGUUUCGGCGGUUGGGGAUGGACUCGCGGCUUAUCAGCUUGUUGGUGGGGUAGUUGCUUACCAAGGCUUUGACGGGUAGCCGGCCUGAGAGGGUGACCGGGGACAUGGGGCCUGAGGGAGGGACCAGAAGGCAACGGGAGGCAGUGGGGGGGAGUAUGGCAGAAUGGGGGGAAGCGUGAGGCAGAGACGCCGCGUGCGGAAUGACGGCUUUCGGGUUGUAAACAGCUGUCGCCUGUGACGAAGCGUGAGUGACGGUAAUGGGUAAAGAAGCACCGGCUAACUACGUG